GCCCCGGUAAACGGCGGCCGUAACUAUGACGGUCCUAAGGUAGCGAAGUUCCUUGUCGGGUAAGUUCCGACCCGCACGAAAGGCGUAAUGAUUUGGAUACUGUCUCAGAGAGGGGCUCGGUGAAAUAGACUUGUCUGUGAAGAUGCGGACUACCUGCACCUGGACAGAAAGACCCUAUGAAGCUUUACUGUAACUUGAAAUUGAAAUUGGACUUUAUUUGCGCAGUAUAGGUGGGAGGCUAUGAAGAUAUUCUUGCGGGAAUAUUGGAGCUAUCAGUGAGAUACCACUCUUGUAAUGUUAGAUUUCUAACUUUAGAUCAUAAUCUGGUUAAAGGACAGUUUCAGGCGGGCAGUUUGACUGGGGCGGUCGCCUCCCAAAUGGUAACGGAGGCGUACAAAGGUUUCCUCUGAACGUGUAGAAAUCGUAUCUAGAGUGUAAAGGCAUAAGGAAGCUUGACUGUGAGACCUACAAGUCGAGCAGGGACGAAAGUCGGUCUUAGUGAUCUGACGGUGCUGAGUGGAAAGGCCGUCACUCAACGGAUAAAAGUUACUCUAGGGAUAACAGGCUGAUCUCCCCCAAGAGUUCACAUCGACGGGGAGGUUUG
rnacentral:rRNA from 1 species